AAAAUUAUCACAAAACCUGCUGUACCACUUUUUUUCAAAAAUAAAGGAGGGCUUUUGUGGGUGACCCCCACUUAUAUUCUGUAUUUAUAGAAAUAGUAAAAACACAUUUAUUGCUACUCAGUUAAGGUGUACCAACACCAAUAUUAAAGUGGGUGACCCCCACUUAACUUUAUGAUGAUAAUAAAUUUACAGGUGAAUUCCACCUUCUGAUUUCAUAGUGGUAACCCCACUCUCUAUUUAUAAUAUUAUGGCGAUACCUACUUUGUUUGACC